GUACGAAGGUCCCGAGCGUUGUUCGGAAUCACUGGGCGUAAAGGGAGCGUAGGCGGCGUGGUAAGUCAGAUGUGAAAUCCCGGGGCUCAACCCCGGAACUGCAUCCGAUACUGCCAUGCUAGAGGAUUGGAGAGGUAGCUGGAAUUCUUGGUGUAGCAGUGAAAUGCGUGGAGAUCAAGAGAAACACUCGUGGCGAAAGCGGCAUCCUGGACCGACACUGACGCUGAGGAGCGAAAGCCAGGGGAGCAAACGGG
rnacentral:rRNA from 1 species